CUUUCUGACUUCUAUUACUUAUCUUGAUUCGCGGUUUUUAUUUGGCAAGGCUAGGUAGAAAUGAUUCAUGACUAUUAGUGAUGUUCAAGCUUGAUAUUGUGAGAGUUCGAUUAUUGUCCAUUAAAUUGGUUUGUAGCAGAGGCUUUAUGUUGGUUCUUGGCAGAAAAAUUUAGUUAAACUGGAAUAAAUCUUUACAUAGAUAUGCUACACUACUCCUUCCUGACUGUAAUAGUUUGGCUAAGGCAUUGGCUCAUGAAGAUCAUAUCCUUGGCUAUUGGUGUUGUUCCUAUGACUUCCUAAGUGAUCCUACAUUUGUGAUUCUAAGUUCUAGAAUUGAUCAUGUGGUUGUUCUAUAUGAUGGCAUGAAAAUGAUUGGGAGAAAGGGGGUGGAGGUGCUUACCUCUCGGUAUCACGGCUGCUUCGAGAAAAUCUGCUUUUGGUCUCGGUUUUCCUCCCUCUCAAGCUUGCUACUGCUUGUUCUUAGUUUUCACUAGAGUUUUGCUGAAAUUUGUGAUGUGUAGGAGGGUGUUCAAAGGUGGUGUGGGGGGGGCUUUUUAUGGCUGAACUCUUGAUGUACUAUGGGGGGGAUUAAUUGGGGUUGUUACUCUAUUUUGUUCCCAUCUUGCAGAGGAUCUCCUUUGUCUAUGAUUCUGCAGUAGGAUACACUUGAGAGAUGGCUUUAUUUGAGUACUUUGUACAUGGAUAUUAAUUGUUACUUGUUUGAUGUGGCUGUGAGAACAGGUGCUGCAUCGGUGAGGGCUUGCAGGCUGGACUUGCCCCUUUUUGGGUAAGUCCUUGGUCUUCAUAGGGAAAGAAGGUGAGAGAGAAAUCUCGGCUGCUACCUGGCUGCACCGCGAGCGGGCCUGGAGUUGAUGUCUGGGCCGACGGCUGCUCGAAACGGGCCCUAAAUUGGGCCUGGAGAAAAGGCCCGAAAUGCACUCCAUAUUUUUUUCAUUUUCCUUUCCUUGUUUAUCUUUCUUUGGGGACUUAAUCCGUGUAAUCUAUUUUAUUAGUUGUUCAUUAAUUAAGCUUUGUUCCCAA